AAAGAAAGAUAAAAAAAUCCAUUUCUAGUUACGAAAUUAAAACAGGAAAAAGAGAGCAUGAAGGAUGGCAAAUAUUUAGAAAAAUACAAAUAUGGAAUGGAGAGUACAUUAAAAAAAUCUACAUAAAAGUGAUUUAUGUACUACUAUUUAUCAAGAAAUCCUUGAAUGAACUGUGACGAUAUAAGAUGACUGCUUUUAUGGCUCUUAUAGCAAGGAUUAAUAUAGGAAUAAUAAUUAGGAAUAGGAAGAAUAUCAUAAUCUAUAUUAAUAUAGGAUAAUAUAGGAAUAUCAUAUAAGGAUUAUAUGACAUUCUAGUAGAGAAGAGGAAGCAAAAAGGAAAUUGGACUGGGUUGAUUAAGUAGACUCAAACAUAUUAUAUGGCAAGCACUGUCUUGAAAUUAUAAAAGAAGAUAUGAAAAAAGCUAGAAAGCAUAAGCAUUGGACCAAAAUGAUGAAGUUAAAGGGUUUUACAACAUCAUUAUUAGCAGAUCUAUAUUGAACACGAGAAAGACAAUAGAAAGAAGUAUAAAAACUUGAUUUAUAAUAGGAGAAAUAUACUGUAUAACAUGAUACGUAUUGAUAAGGACUGAAUUGAGGAAAAAAGAUAGAAAGGCAGUUGUUUAUAAAAUACCAGUAAUGAAUAAAGACAUGAAUAGCAUGGAAAUUUAUAUAGGGUACAUGUCAAGGAACCUUUCAAUAAGACUAAAAGAGGAUAAUGAUUCUAAGGUCCUUCGAAUGGCACUUUCACAAAGAAUGGUAGCAUGCAAAGUGAAAGUGAACUGUGAUGAUGCUAGGCUGUUAAGUGAUAUUGAUAAAUUAAGGAAGGAUAAGAUUGCUAAAAAUAUAGUGAUUUAUAAAAGAAAAUCAAAAAAAAUUAAUGAAUUAAUAAAUUGGAUCCAUGUAUGAUUGAGUGUGGUGUGGAAGUGGUGCCAUAAAAAAUUGUAAAGUUUAAGGUUUUAAUAUUAGUAGAUGAUCUUAUAUAGAUGUAAUAAUAAGAUAUAUAUUGAACAUUGAAUUUUAUAUAUAUGGAUUUCAAAAUGAAUUAAUCUACUAAUGGUACUAGUUUGUUAGUUUUAUUUCCAAGUAUAUUCUACAAUACUACUAAUAGAUACCAUGGUUGUGAAACCUAUUAUUAUUUAUGCUGCCAUCAUUUGGUGGCAUGGAGUUCUGUUUAAGACAUGAGUAAACUUCAGAAAACUCAAAGGAUGAUCUCUCUGAACAUCACAGGAAUUAUAAAAAAUGCUCUUACUGUUCUUGAAAUCCUCUAUGGUAUGGUAUUUCCCUCCUUGCAUUUGUAUUUUGAGACUAAUCUCCAGGAGGGUUAGUGUAAGUUCUGUUGUGGGAGAAUUUCUUGGAUCUACAACAUUUUGAAUCUUUUGAAUGGAACAAAACAGUGAAGAAUAACUAUAGCACUAUAAGCGGGGGCAGGUUUUAUUAUGGCAAGGUGUUUUCGGACUUUACAUCUAGUCCCUCUUCAG
rnacentral:lncRNA from 1 species